rnacentral:rRNA from 1 species
UCAGAUUGAACGCUGGCGGCAGGCCUAACACAUGCAAGUCGAGCGGAAACGAUGGAGUGCUUGCACUCCAGGCGUCGAGCGGCGGACGGGUGAGUAAUACUUGGGAAUCUGCCUGAGGGCGGGGGACAACCACUGGAAACGGUGGCUAAUACCGCAUAAUGUCUACGGACCAAAGUGUGGGACCUACGGGCCACACGCCUUCAGAUGAGCCCAAGCGAGAUUAGGUAGUUGGUGGGGUAAAGGCCUACCAAGCCGACGAUCUCUAGCUGGUUUGAGAGGAUGAUCAGCCACACUGGGACUGAGACACGGCCCAGACUCCUACGGGAGGCAGCAGUGGGGAAUAUUGGACAAUGGGGGCAACCCUGAUCCAGCCAUGCCGCGUGUGUGAAGAAGGCCUUCGGGUUGUAAAGCACUUUCAGUGGUGAGGAAGGCGUUGUCGUUAAUAGCGGCGACGAUUGACGUUAGCCACAGAAGAAGCACCGGCUAACUCCGUGCCAGCAGCCGCGGUAAUACGGAGGGUGCGAGCGUUAAUCGGAAUUACUGGGCGUAAAGCGCACGUAGGCGGUUUGCUAAGCAAGAUGUGAAAGCCCAGAGCUCAACUCUGGAAUAGCAUUUUGAACUGGCAGGCUAGAGUUUUGGAGAGGGUGGUAGAAUUU